UUGACCUCGAAUCAGGUAGGAAUACCCGCUGAACUUAAGCAUAUCAAUAAGCGGAGGAAAAGAAACCAACAGGGAUUGCCCCAGUAACGGCGAGUGAAGCGGCAACAGCUCAAAUUUGAAAUCUGGCCCCCCGGGGCCCGAGUUGUAAUUUGCAGAGGAUGCUUUUGGCGAGGCGCCUUCCGAGUUCCCUGGAACGGGACGCCAUAGAGGGUGAGAGCCCCGUCUGGUCGGACGCCGAGCCUCUGUAAAGCUCCUUCGACGAGUCGAGUAGUUUGGGAAUGCUGCUCUAAAUGGGAGGUAUAUGUCUUCUAAAGCUAAAUACCGGCCAGAGACCGAUAGCGCACAAGUAGAGUGAUCGAAAGAUGAAAAGCACUUUGAAAAGAGGGUUAAACAGUACGUGAAAUUGUUGAAAGGGAAGCGCUUGUGACCAGACUUGGGCCCGGCGGAUCACCCAGCGUUCUCGCUGGUGCACUCCGGCGGGCCCAGGCCAGCAUCAGCUCGCGCCGGGGGACAAAGGCGGCGGGAACGUGGCUCCCCCGGGAGUGUUAUAGCCCGCCGCGCAAUGCCCUGGCGCGGGCUGAGGACCGCGCAUCUGCAUGGAUGCUGGCGUAAUGGUCAUCAGCGACCCGUCUUGAA
rnacentral:rRNA from 1 species